CUGUUGGAGGUACUGGAGUUGGGCUGUUGGAGGUACUGGAGUUGGGCUGUUGGAGGUACUGGAGUUGGGCUGUUGGAGGUACUGGAGUUGGGCUGUUGGAGGUACUGGAGUUGGGCUGUUGGAGGUACUGGAGUUGGGCUGUUGGAGGUACUGGAGUUGGGCUGUUGGAGGUACUGGAGUUGGGCUGUUGGAGGUACUGGAGUUGGGCUGUUGGAGGUACUGGAGUUGGGCUGAUGGGAGGAAUUCUCUGGCAAAUAUUCCUGCAGUCAACAUGACAAUUGCACGCUCCCUCGAAUCUUGAGAUGUAAAACUGCACAUUGUAGAGUGGCCUUUUAUUGUCCCCAGCACAAGGUGCACCUGUGUAAUGAUCAUGCUGUUUAAUCGGCUUCUUCAUUUUCCACACCUGUCAGGUGGAUGGAUUAUCUGGGCAAAGGAGAAAUGUUCACUAACAGGGAUGUGCACAACAUUGGAGAGAAAUCAGCUUUUUGUGCUGAUGGAACAUUCCUGGGAUCUUUUAUUUCAGCUCAUGAAACAUGGGACCAACACUUUACAUGUUGCGUUUAUAUUUUGGUUCGGUGUAAAAUGGAUACAAUGUCACUUGCCUACACACAAUACUCCAUAAUGUCAAAGUGGAAUGAUGUUUUUAGAAAUGUUUACUAAUUACAAAAUGAAAGGCU